UACCUGCAGCUCGAGUGGUAACCGCUAUUAUUGGGCCUAAAGCGUCCGUAGCCGGUUUGGUAAAUAUCUGGGUAAAUCGUGAGGCUUAACUUCACGAAUUUCGGAUAGACUGCCAGACUUGGGAUCGGGGGAGGUCAGAGGUACUCCAGGGGUAGCGGUGAAAUGUUGUAAUCCUUGGAGGACCACCGGUAGCGAAGGCGUCUGACUAGAACGAGUCCGACGGUGAGGGACGAAGCCCUGGGGCGCAAAACCGGAUUAGAUACCCGGGUAGUCCAGGGUGUAAACGAUGUGGGCUUUGUAUUAGAGGUCCCACGUGGGCGUCCAGUGCAGAAGAGAAGUUGUUAAGCCCACCGCCUGGGAAGUACGGUCGCAAGGCUGAAACUUAAAGGAAUUGGCGGGGGAGCACAGCAACGGGAGGAGCGUGCGGUUUA
rnacentral:rRNA from 1 species